UACGUAGGUGGCGAGCGUUGUCCGGAUUUACUGGGCGUAAAGAGCGCGCAGGCGGCUGGUCAAGUCCGAUGUGAAAGCUCCCGGCUUAACUGGGAAAUUGCAUCGGAAACUGAUCGGCUGGAAGGUGGGAGAGGGUAGCGGAAUUUCCGGUGUAGCGGUGAAAUGCGUAGAUAUCGGAAGGAACAUCAGUGGCGAAAGCGGCUUCCUGGACCAGCACCGACGUUCAGGCACGAAAGCGUGGGGAGCAAACAGG
rnacentral:rRNA from 1 species